CGAGCGCACCCUUCGGGGCGAGCGGCGGACGGGUUAGUAACGCGUGGGAAUGUACCCUUCUCUAUGGAAUAGCCUCGGGAAACUGAGAGUAAUACCAUAUACGCCCUUCGGGGGAAAGAUUUAUCGGAGAAGGAUCAGCCCGCGUAAGAUUAGAUAGUUGGUGGGGUAAUGGCCUACCAAGUCUACGAUCUUUAGCUGGUUUUAGAGGAUGAUCAGCAACACUGGGACUGAGACACGGCCCAG
rnacentral:rRNA from 1 species